rnacentral:lncRNA from 1 species
AGAAAAACAGGCUUACAGACUGCAGAUGAGAGAGUCUGGAGCAGAGACAAUUUUAACUUAGCCAUUCCUAAUUUAUCUCAAGCAUUUUCAAUUCAUCUUCACUGCUCUAUGCACACAGGAACACCAGAUUGCCGUCCCUGGGGAACAGAAUGCAACCAGGGAUCUGGAGAGCUGUCACAUUCCAAGAAAUAUUUAAAUUGUGCUGAUUUUCUUCUGGAGAACUGAGCCCAGGGAAUGAAACUCUCCAUCAAGUCAUAGCUUUGCGGGCAAUAGAUCAGAGGAUAUUGCCAGUUUUCUAAUGGAUUAUUGUUAUCGGGCAGGUUUUCUCUGAAGGUACGUAGUUAUUUUCUCAAUUC